UUUUACCCUCGGGACCGGCGCACGGGUGAGUAACGCGUAUCCAACCUGCCCUUCACUACGGGAUAGCCUGUCGAAAGGCAGAUUAAUACCGUAUGGUGAAGGAUGGGGAUGCGUCCGAUUAGCUUGUUGGCGGGGUAACGGCCCACCAAGGCAUCGAUCGGUAGGGGUUCUGAGAGGAAGGUCCCCCACAUUGGAACUGAGACACGGUCCAAACUCCUACGGGAGGCAGCAGUGAGGAAUAUUGGUCAAUGGUCGAGAGACUGAACCAGCCAAGUAGCGUGCAGGAAGACGGCCUAUGGGUUGUAAACUGCUUUUAUGCGGGGAUAGGUACCGCAUGAAUAAGGACCGGCUAAUUCCGUGCCAGCAGCCGCGGUAAUACGGAAGGUCCGGGCGUUAUCCGGAUUUAUUGGGUUUAAAGGGAGCGCAGGCCGCCUUUUAAGCGUGUUGUGAAAUGUCCCGGCUCAACUGGGUCACUGCAGCGCGAACUGGAAGGCUUGAGUACGCUGUAGGUAGGCGGAAUUCGUGGUGUAGCGGUGAAAUGCUUAGAUAUCACGAAGAACUCCGAUUGCGAAGGCAGCCUACCAUCGCGUAACUGACGCUGAGGCUCGAAAGUGCGGGUAUCGAACAGGAUUAGAUACCCUGGUAGUCCGCACGGUAAACGAUGGAUGCCCGCCGUUGGAGCGGCCAAGCGAAAGCGUUAAGCAU
rnacentral:rRNA from 1 species